UACGUAGGGGCCGAGCGUUGUCCGGAAUUACUGGGCGUAAAGCGCGCGCAGGCGGCUGAUCAAGCCUGACGUGAAAGCCCCCGGCUCAACCGGGGAGGGUCGUCGGGGACUGGUUGGCUUGAGGGCGGUAGGGGCCGGUGGAAUUCCCGGUGUAGUGGUGAAAUGCGUAGAGAUCGGGAGGAACACCAGUGGCGAAGGCGGCCGGCUGGGCCGACCCUGACGCUGAGGCACGAAAGUGUGGGGAUCAAACAGG
rnacentral:rRNA from 1 species